AUUGAACGCUGGCGGCAGGCCUAACACAUGCAAGUCGAGCGGAGCGGCGGACGGGUGAGUAAUGUAUGGGGAUCUGCCCGAUAGAGGGGGAUAAGCCUGGGAAACUGGGUCUAAUACCGGAUAGUGUGGGAUGGGCCCGCGGCCUAUCAGCUUGGUGGUGGGGUAAUGGCCGACCAAGGCGGCGACGGGUAGCCGGCCUGGGAGGGUGGACGGCCACAUGGGGACUGAGACACGGCCCAGACUCCUACGGGAGGCAGCAGGGGGGAAGAUUGCACAAUGGGCGGAAGCCUGAUGCAGAGACGCCGCGUGGGGGAUGACGGCCUUCGGGUUGUAAACUCCUUUCACCAUCGACGCGGUAGAUGGAGAAGAAGCACCGGCUAACUACGUGCCAGCAGCCGCGGUAAUUC
rnacentral:rRNA from 1 species